rnacentral:rRNA from 1 species
UGGUGAAAUUAGCGCUGUGGAACCACCCGAUCCCAUCCCGAACUCGGAAGUGAAACGCAGCUGCGCCGAUGGUAGUGUGGCUCAAGCCAUG